UGUGGGUUAGGGUUAGAGAGCUUUAAGACAUAAUAGGCUGCUGGCUGUGUUGUUGCACUUGCUUGAUGUUUGGCUGUGUUAGCAAAGUUGUCGACUCGCUAGUUUUUGAUCAUAAGUCAUUUUAAAAAAUGCAUGUGUACCGCUGUCCAUAUUCAUGACAGCAGUGUAUGAGUGAAUUGUACUCUGAACCUUGGGGCACAAAAUUGCAAUAAUUCUUACACAAGCUCAAUAAACACAGUAUAACAAUAUUUGACUGGAACUUUCCCCAUCUGUCUGGGACAUUGAAAUCUUCUAGAAGGCAUGGACUGGUAUCACCUUUAUCAGUAGAUUGUUAGAAAGUACCUGGUGAAGAAAGUGGAACAUCUAGCAGCUAAAGAGCCAAACAUUUUGUACAGGAGUAAGUGGAGACCAAACCAGAGUACCAAGGACUUACCAUCAUCAGGAAAAGUCAAGAAUUCUACAUGCAGAAGCCUAAUUCCAGUUUUGGUUCCAGAGACUGUUCCAAUUUUGUGCAGCAUUCAUUCAGAAUAAACACUAGUUGUUGUUAGUAGCAAUGUUAUUUCUUACUGUGCAUUAAGAUGAAGACAUGUCUGUGUGAGAUGGAAGGGAUGUGGUUGUAUCAUUGGGCUUUAUGAAUCUGCUUUGGAAAAAGGAGAAAUGCUGGAUGCAUAUAACAGAUGGAGCAGUCAGAGGCUGAGCGAAACACAAACACAGGCACACUACCACAGUUGGUUCAGUGGCUGCUAGCUUGACUGACAAUGGCAUCUAGCCGUGUAAUUGUAGAUUGCAACUCACUUGUGUCACCCUCCCUUUCCAACUGCGAGGGAGAAACUACAAACUACUGUAGAGACAUGGCGGUUCAACUGAAGCCGUUCUGCAUCUGUAGACAGAAACAGCUCAUUCUAAGUUUGCUUUAUCAGUGGUGACAAUUGGCCUGGCAGGAAUUAUCAGUUCAGCCCACUGAUCCCGAAAUGAGUCUCCGAAAGGCGCCAGAUUGCACAUGCUGCUGUUUGAUCUCUACUGCUGCAUCGGAUCACUGUCCUCCUCUGGACGGCUGCUUUAUAAAGUGUUCUUUUUUCGAUGUUGUUGAUUCCCGGUUGGUUGAUUAUUUGCAUUACAUCUGAAUCUCACAAACUCUAAAGAUGCACAGAGACAGUAUUUUGUAGGAUUACGUUAUUGUUUGGAGGCAGAAUGCGUCCGGUGAGUUUGUGCUCCUGAAAGCAUAAACACACAAUCAUACCUUAGACUAGUCAGUUUUCAUUGAAACUGUUGUUUCAACUGUAUGAACGUUUAAGAGGCUGUAGUUUGUGCUGUUGAACUGUAUAACACUGCAUUAUGUAAUAACUCGACAAAAUGUCAUAGAUUUUCUUACUUUCUUACUCACAUUAUUUAGUAACACAUUUUGUAAUAAUCUGCUGCAUUUAGUAAUAAACAGCAUAAACGCAAUAUAUAAUAAAACUUUUUUCUGUGUUUUGUAAUAUAUUAUGACAUAUUUUGGUAGUUAUUACAAAAAGUUUCAUUUUUAUAUGAUGAAAAUGUAAUAAUAUGGUGAAUUAUGUAAUAACAAACCAAAAUGGAUGUCUUCAUCUGUACACAUUAUUUUUAACAAUUAACCUAUAUUAAA
rnacentral:lncRNA from 1 species